AGCGAACGCUGGCGGUAGGCCUAACACAUGCAAGUCGAACGGCAGCACAGUAAGAGCUUGCUCUUACGGGUGGCGAGUGGCGGACGGGUGAGGUAUACAUCGGAAUCUACUUUUUCGUGGGGGAUAACGUAGGGAAACUUACGCUAAUACCGCAUACGACCUACGGGUGAAAGCAGGGGAUCUUCGGACCUUGCGCGAUUGAAUGAGCCGAUGUCGGAUUAGCUAGUUGGCGGGGUAAAGGCCCACCAAGGCGACGAUCCGUAGCUGGUCUGAGAGGAUGGUCAGCCACACUGGAACUGAGACACGGCCCAGACUCCUACGGGAGGCAGCAGUGGGGAAUAUUGGACAAGGGGCGCAAGCCUGAUCCAGCCAUACCGCGUGGGGGAAGAAGGCCUUCGGGUUGUAAAGCCCUUUUGUUGGGAAAGAAAAGCAGCAGGUUAAUACCCCGCUGUUCUGACGGUACCCAAAGAAUAAGCACCGGCUAACUUCGUG
rnacentral:rRNA from 1 species